UACGGAGGAUGCGAGCGUUAUCCGGAUUUAUUGGGUUUAAAGGGUGCGUAGGCGGCUUUUUAAGUCAGCGGUGAAAAUUUUGCAGCUCAACUGUAAAAGUGCCUUCGAAACUGGUUUCCUUGAGUGUAGAUGAAGUAGGCGGAAUUUGUGGUGUAGCGGUGAAAUGCAUAGAUAUCACGAGGAACUCCGAUUGCGCAGGCAGCUUACUAAACUACUACUGACGCUCAGGCACGAAGGCGUGGGGAUCAAACAGGAUUAGAUACCCCUGUA
rnacentral:rRNA from 1 species